UCGGGUUAGCAGAACGAAAGAUGACCAUUUCACGUUGAAAAACCUAUACUGGCCUCCCUCCCUGCUACUCCUCUUCGCUCUACACCUUCACGAAUCAAAACCCCCGUCGCCGUCAACCAAAACGAAACGCCACGAACGAAAAUCAACCACCAAGGACGCGAUCUCCUCUUCCUUUAAGCUCCAACCUAAUGCUCACCGGACGCUUUCCAAUUUGAACGAGGCAGGUUACGACGUAACAAACUCAACGCGUUUCCAAGACCAAACAAAAUGCCGAAAUUGAUUCUGAUUCGAAGCCCACACUCACUUCCUCGCGCGAGUAAUCUCGAAUAUGAACAAUUCACGACCUCAACCUCAACCUCUCAUGAAGAAUCCAGUAUGACAAACGAACCCGCGCCCAAACACAACACCAGAUUGAAAUCCUCACCGAAAGUGUGCGCGAAUGCAAGAAAAUGAGGGGAAAAGAAACUCACCGAAUUUGACGUUCUGAUGUGGUUGUUCAAUUGGUGCAUUUGUCGUUCUUCGAUCGCUACGCCCUGUUGUAUGAUUCGUAUGCGUUUCGUUGCAUCGUCGAAUGGAGGUGAAGGUUUGUGUUAGACUUUGUGGCGUUGCAGGACGAGGAAUGGAAAUGGUAGUUCGUGCGCUCACUACUGAUCCGAGAUGAAGAGUGAAUUGGUUGAUUCGUCUUGAGGUGAAGAAUGUGGGAUAUUGCAGAGUGAAUCUGGAAACAUUGUUGUACUCAUGAGGCGAUGAAGAACCGAUGAAGAACAGAGACGUGAAUGAGCUCGUGACGAAGACGAUUUGCCGUUGAGGAAGAAGAAUGAAGCUUGUGUUCGUUACUGAUUAAAACGAGGACAAAUCCCUCGUUUCUGUUGUUCCAUUUUCUGCACAUUGUUGAUUAUUCCCCGCGUUUCUUUUCCCCCCUUCUCUUUCUGUUUCCGUUUUUGUUGGUGGAGUUUGUUGAACUGGUUUUCUGCAGGAUUAUCGUGAACUGUUGGAAGAAGUUGGAAGUUGAAGGUGUUGGCAGAAGAAGAUGGGGUUAUGGAGUUUGGGUUGGUUCAUCAUUUGUUAUAGGUUCUGUUAUGGUGAUAAUGAAGAUGAAGUGUGGAGUAUGAAGAUGGAGGAAGGUGAAAAACGAUUAUGCAGUGAAAAGCUUUUUCUGUUUGUGUGAAAAUGAUGAAUAUCUUUUCCUUCAAUCACAGACAUGAUCAAUAGCAGGUAUUGAAUUCCCAUGCUAAAAAUGGUGUUGAUGCUGUGAAAUUCAAAUGGGUGGACAUGUAAUGUGAAAAUGGUGGUGGUUGUCAAGAUAAACAAAUGGGCAAAAGCUUCUCAAUUCUCAAAGUCAUCCCAUGUAUAGUUAAUUAAUGAUUCAAUGUAAAGUUAAUUAAUUAAAAAAAUUUAGGGAUGCAAUGUAAAGUGAACCACUAUUUGUGCUAAAUCCAAAUUCCUCUUGUUUUCCUUAUUCCAA